rnacentral:ribozyme from 1 species
AGGUUUGUAGAGGUUUGCGGACCAACAUAUUGGCAUUUAGGCAUACGCAGUCCUUGAAUUCUGGAAACAGGAUCAAUCAGAUCAAAACAUACGUUCGGUACCUCGACCGAUGUGCACGAAAAACGGACAG